ensembl:lncRNA
CCCUGAUGGCAUUUCCAGUGCUGUGCUAGGUCAAACACAAACAUGACUGGGAAGGGGGGAAGUCUCACAUUUCAUGCUCAGUUGUACAGACUAAAGAAGUAUGCUGGUAUUGUGGCUUCUGUGGCUUUUUAUUUUUUUUUAAGUUAGUUGAGUACAAGUUUGGCCAGGGUAUGUAUUCAUGAAAAGUGCUAAAGGAUCUCUACCUGUUCCUGUGACAUGGGGAUGAGAAAGACCAGUUCUCCCUGUUGCCAGCAACCAACCUAUCAAAAGGAUGGAGAAAAGUACACCCUGGGACUUUUUACUUCUUCCAGCAAACUUCAGUUCGACCAUGGGGCAUUCAGACAGGAGUGAACCAGGACCUAUAAAAUGCACAUGGGAAGCCAUCAGAGUCAGCAGAAGAGACAUCCACAUGUAAAGAAUGGUGACACUGAGUACCAUCAAAACCAGCCUGAAGCCACCUUCG